GAACAGAUUUGAAAUUGCUCUCAAUUUCGCAAAACACCUAUUUGUAUCUGUUUUUUUAUAUAUAUAUAGCUUCUUUGGGUACUUAUAAUGUAAAAUAAUGAAAAAAAUUCUCGAACUCAAAUUUUGUGAACCAGGGAGGUGUGUCUUUUCCAACAAACUAAAAAUGGCUCGCGCACAAAAUUUAAAAGCUGUAAUCAUAUUUUGAGUUAACAGAUUGAAAAUUUGUCGGGUUUUUAAUUACUGUACAAAAUUUCAGACAAUUUGGUUUAGUUUAAGCCUUUAACUAUUCAUUUUGUUCUAAAAAGUCAGCCUUUCGCAUGCUUAAUUAAUGCCUUUACCUAAUUUGUAUAUUGCUGACAUAUGCAAAUUAGGCAAAUGCAUUAAUUAAGCAUGCAAAUAGCUGAUUUUUCGGGAAAAUUGUAACUGCGUGAAUAGUUAAGGGGCUUAAACUAAACCAAAUUGUCUGAAAUUUUGUACAGUAAUUAAAAUCCCGACAAAUUUUCCAUCUGUUAACUCAAAAU